rnacentral:lncRNA from 1 species
AGCUCACCUAUGAUAUAAAGGGAAGGAGAAAAAUAAACGAGUGCUCUCAGUCUCCCUGGGAGCCCUCCCGACUCUAUUUCUGUGUUUUUCUUUUUCUUCAUCCUCACUCCCCCAUUCAGGUGCUGUUCGACAAGUGACGGUGGGCUCCAUCAAUCUUCAGCCUUAAACAUGGUUUAUUGUUCCACAGCAAGAUGGCUUAAUUGCAAAUGGAAGAUCUCAAGACUGGGAGAUUCCUGGAAAUACAGGAAGAAAUUGUGGAGCUUCUUGUGACUUAGCCCCAAAUGUGACUGACUGCCCCUCCUGCUGCAUUCUAUUGGUCCUGUAGCCCACACAUAGGUUCUUAGACUUUGUCUUUUGAUAUGGGAC